rnacentral:lncRNA from 1 species
AAGAGUUGGAAAGACACGACACCUGUCACUACAGUCAUGGAUGGCUGAACUGAAACUCAGGAAACCUGGUUUUCCGAGCCUUGGCUGUGGUGUCCUGAGGAAAUCGGUCCACCUCCUUGCCACACUGUGCCGGCUGAGACCAGAUGAGGAAGGGGAGGUGGAGAAACGGAGGGGCUUUGAAAAGUAUCCGAAGAAAUGUAAAAUAUUGAAAAGAUUCCCGUGAGGCCCAUUUUUACAUUCAAGUUUCCACUGCAGUUUAAAAGAAUGUAUGUUGUGUGUUGCAGAGGCCUUUAAAAAACAGCUUUUAGAAAAACAGCAGACACGUCCCACUCCACCAAGAAUGCGCGCGGCCCUAGAGCUGAGCUAUCAAGGACCACAGAGGACGGAGCUCUCUCGUUGUGAAGACCCUAGAGCUGAGCUAUCAAGGAUCACGGAGGAUGGAGCCCUCGCGUUGUGAAGACCGGGGCAGGAGCAGCUCCUGUUGGGUAUUGGAUGACGAGUUCUUCUCAUAAGGAUUCCGUGAUUUCAGAACGUUCCUACUGUUUUCACGCAGCCAAACACGCCCUCUCCUUCUUUGCUCCCUUGAACUCAGGCUCACCGUGGGGCAUCUGCAGUCACGGCCACGUCGGACUCCGUGGGGGCUUCCCUGACCACGUGGCAUCUGUCUGUUCUCC